AACGAACGCUGGCGGCAGGCUUAACACAUGCAAGUCGAGCGCCCCGCAAGGGGAGCGGCAGACGGGUGAGUAACGCGUGGGAACGUACCCUUUGCUACGGAAUAGCUCCGGGAAACUGGAAUUAAUACCGUAUGUGCCCUACGGGGGAAAGAUUUAUCGGCAAAGGAUCGGCCCGCGUUGGAUUAGCUAGUUGGUGGGGUAAUGGCCUACCAAGGCGACGAUCCAUAGCUGGUCUGAGAGGAUGAUCAGCCACAUUGGGACUGAGACACGGCCCAAACUCCUACGGGAGGCAGCAGUGGGGAAUAUUGGACAAUGGGCGCAAGCCUGAUCCAGCCAUGCCGCGUGAGUGAUGAAGGCCUUAGGGUUGUAAAGCUCUUUCACCGGAGAAGAUAGUGACUGUAGUCGGAGAAGAAGCCCCGGCUAACUUCGUGCCAGCAGCCGCCGUAAAAC
rnacentral:rRNA from 1 species